rnacentral:rRNA from 1 species
AGUGAACGCUGGCGGCAGGCCUAACACAUGCAAGUCGAACGGCAGCACGGCAGUAGCAAUACUGUGGGUGGCGAGUGGCGGACGGGUGAGGAAUACAUCGGGAUCUACCCUGUUGUGGGGGAUAACGUAGGGAAACUUACGCUAAUACCGCAUAAGAACUGAGGUUGAAAGCGGCGGACCGCAAGGCGUCGCGCGAUUGGAUGAACCGAUGUCCGAUUAGCUAGUUGGCGGGGUAAAGGCCCACCAAGGCGACGAUCGGUAGCUGGUCUGAGAGGACGACCAGCCACACUGGAACUGAGACACGGUCCAGACUCCUACGGGAGGCAGCAGUGGGGAAUAUUGGACAAUGGGCGCAAGCCUGAUCCAGCCAUGCCGCGUGGGUGAAGAAGGCCUCGGUUGUAAGCCUUUGUCCGAAGAAAGACAUCGGUUAUACCGGUGUUCUGACGUACCGGAGAAUAAGACACCGGCUAACUUCGUGCCAGCA